CAGUAGCCACGGGAAUACGAAGGGGGCUAGCGUUGCUCGGAAUCACUGGGCGUAAAGGGUGCGUAGGCGGGUCUUUAAGUCAGGGGUGAAAUCCUGGAGCUCAACUCCAGAACUGCCUUUGAUACUGAAGAUCUUGAGUUCGGGAGAGGUGAGUGGAACUGCGAGUGUAGAGGUGAAAUUCGUAGAUAUUCGCAAGAACACCAGUGGCGAAGGCGGCUCACUGGCCCGAUACUGACGCUGAGGCACGAAAGCGUGGGGAGCAAACAGGAUUAGAUACCCCCGUAGUCCCUGUCUCUUAUAC
rnacentral:rRNA from 1 species